rnacentral:rRNA from 1 species
AGAAGUGAGAAUGCCGGUAUGAGUAGCGAAAGACAGGUGAGAAUCCUGUCCACCGAAUGACUAAGGUUUCCUGGGGAAGGCUCGUCCUCCCAGGGUAAGUCGGGACCUAAGCCGAGGCCGAGAGGCGUAGGCGAUGGAUAACAGGUUGAGAUUCCUGUACCAGUUAACUGCGUUUGACGAUGGAGGGACGCAGGAGGCUAAGCAAACCUCACGAUUGGAAGAGUGGGGCCAAGCAGUAAGUCAGGAUGUGAGUCAAAUGCUUACAUCCGGGUUGACAAGCUAUGAUGGGGAGCGAAAUUACAGUAGCGAAGUUGCCGAUGUCACACUGCCGAGAAAAGCUUCUAAGGAGCACGUUAACUGCCCGUACCGCAAACCGACACAGGUAGUCGAGGAGAGAAUCCUAAGGUGAGCGAGUGAACUCUCGUUAAGGAACUCGGCAAAAUGACCCCGUAACUUCGGGAGAAGGGGUGCUGGUCGCAAGACCAGCCGCAGUGAAUAGGCCCAGGCGACUGUUUAUCAAAAACACAGGUUUCUGCAAAAUCGUAAGAUGAAGUAUAGGGGCUGACGCCUGCCCGGUGCUGGAAGGUUAAAAGGAAGGGUUAGCUUCGGCGAAGCUCUGAAUUGAAGCCCCAGUAAACGGCGGCCGUAACUAUAACGGUCCUAAGGUAGCGAAAUUCCUUGUCGGGUAAGUUCCGACCCGCACGAAAGGCGUAACGAUCUGGGCACUGUCUCAACGAGAGACUCGGUGAAAUUGAAAUCCCUGUGAAGAUGCAGGGUACCCGCGACAGGACGGAAAGACCCCAUGGAGCUUUACUGUAGCUUGAUAUUGAGUGUUUGUACUGCUUGUACAGGAUAGGUAGGAGCCAUAGAAGUCGGAACGCUAGUUUCGACGGAGGCGUUGGUGGGAUACUACCCUUGCAUUAUGACCACUCUAACCCGCAGCACUGAACGUGCUGGGAGACAGUGUCAGGUGGGCAGUUUGACUGGGGCGGUCGCCUCCUAAAAGGUAACGGAGGCGCCCAAAGGUUCCCUCAGAAUGGUUGGAAAUCAUUCGCAGAGUGUAAAGGUAUAAGGGAGCUUGACUGCGAGAGCUACAACUCGAGCAGGGACGAAAGUCGGGCUUAGUGAUCCGGUGGUUCCGCAUGGAAGGGCCAUCGCUCAACGGAUAAAAGCUACCCUGGGGAUAACAGGCUUAUCUCCCCCAAGAGUCCACAUCGACGGGGAGGUUUGGCACCUCGAUGUCGGCUCAUCGCAUCCUGGGGCUGUAGUCGGUCCCAAGGGUUGGGCUGUUCGCCCAUUAAAGCGGUACGCGAGCUGGGUUCAGAACGUCGUGAGACAGUUCGGUCCCUAUCCGUCGCGGGCGUAGGAAAUUUGAGAGGACCUGUCCUUAGUACGAGAGGACCGGGAUGGACAUACCGCUGGUGUACCAGUUGUUCCGCCAGGAGCAUCGCUGGGUAGCUAUGUAUGGAUGAGAUAAACGCUGAAAGCAUCUAAGUGUGAAACUCGCCUCAAGAUGAGAUUUCCCAUUCCUUUGGAAGUAAGACCCCACAGAGAUGAUGUGGUAGAUAGGAUGGAAGUGGAAGUGCGGUGACGCAUGGAGCGGACCAUUACUAAUCGGUCGAGGACUUAACCAA